AUAAAUAAAUGUUAAUUUUGUAGCAUUCUUAAUUGAACGAGAGCAAUUAUACAAUCAAUAAAGAAAUAUGAAGUUAUUCGCAGUAAUAUUUAUAAUCUUCGCAUUGUGCGUUGCAUUAGGACAGUCGGCGGGCGAGAGGGAAAAUUGGCCAUGUAACCGAGAGGCUGGAAAAGGUUGGACCAAGUUCUGUUAUCAGAAAAAAGGAGAGGAGUCGAAAAAUAUGGUUUGCUCGAGAGAAGCUGAUAAAGGCUGGACAAAGUUCUGUUAUAGGAUCAAAGAUUAGUAGAAUGUCAGAUCAUUUAGCUGUUUCACGAAAUUUCAAAUUCAAAUAAAUGUAUAUUCUG